rnacentral:rRNA from 1 species
UACGUAGGCAGCAAGCGUUGUUCGGAGUUACUGGGCGUAAAGGGUGCGUAGGCGGCUUUUUAAGUUUGGUGUGAAAUCUCCCGGCUCAACUGGGAGGGUGCGCCGAAUACUGAGAGGCUAGAGUGCGGGAGAGGAAAGUGGAAUUCCUGGUGUAGCGGUGAAAUGCGCAGAUAUCAGGAGGAACACCGGUGGCGAAGGCGGGUCUCUGGGCCGUAACUGACGCUGAGGAGCGAAAGCGUGGGGAGCGAACAGG